AAACUAUCUGAAAAGCCUGUGUGUGAGUCAGAUGUGUCUGCGGCUAAUCUAUUGGUUAUAAAAUAUCACAGCCUUUUCUGAUUGGCUGAGUUCAAAUACAGAAAGUUUACCUGUUAGAUUGAAAUUAUGGAGAAGGCGUAUUGAAGAAAAAAUGCAGGUUAAACUUGUUGUUAAAAUGAAGUUAAUGUAAUUUCACAAACAGUAGAGUUUAACUUAAUGAGUUUUUCCAUUAACAAGAAUUUCUUAAAAUAAUAAUGUAUGGAUAUCAUUUGGAAAGUGACAUGAAAUGUUGUUAAAAAGUGAUGCAUACAAGUGUUUCAGAAGUCUGUCUAGGAAUAGAACAACAACUGAAGCUGACCAGUUGAUGGAAGAUACUGCAGAGUUUGGCAGGGAAAUAACCCAAGACAGCAAAGCGGCUCUUUUGGCGCAUUUACCAAGAGGACUAACAUGGCCACAAAUUCAUGAGAUCAUGCAGGAGCCGUACAGUAUAACAGCAGUACAAGUUCUAUAAAAGAUCCACGACCUACUGAAGCCCAGCUAAUUAACAAAAAAGUUUUUAAAAACUGUAAUUUUAUCCCACCUGGGUACUUAUAAUUUACUAACUGUCACUUGGAAAGUAAUACAUGUACAUGCAUUCAUGUUCUGAAUUUCUUUGAACAAUAAAAUUAUAUAAAAGUAUUUUAAUGAAAUUGAGCACCUAAAUUGCAUUAAAGUGAAAGUAGCUGAGAAAAAUAGUAUCCUUAAUUGUUCUCAUGGGCAGCUACAUAUAUUGUGACAAACAUGAAGUAGCUAAAAUAACUUAAAUUUUUCA